GCUCAGGUGGCCUAGUGGUCUAGAGCAUCCACCUUGGAUGUGGGAGGUCGUGGGUUCGAACCCUGGCCAAAUCA